GAUGAGUGCUGGAGUCAGAGAGACAGAGAUCAAAACAUCAGCUCCCUGACUGCUGCGGCUGUUUGGAGAAGGUGGCUUCUUGUCUCCUGGCCAAGGGCGCAUGCUCCCACCGCACCCUAGAAUUAAGUUCACCCACUCAGCCUGGCUGGAAAAUGGCAGGCUCUCCAGAUGGGCGAGAGCGGAUGGGAGCACCUGAGCACUUGCUCUCUGAGGGCCAGCAGAACCCGAAGGACAGAUAGGGAAGGGCAAAGGAGUGGGACCGGUUUCUUCCCCCCAGACUCUCCAAUCAGAUAAGUCAUAGUGGCGGGGGUGGGGGGUGGUUAUGGGGGGUAGGCCUGGGCGUCAGCAUUUUUAAAGCCCCUCAGGUGAUUCAGUGCAGCCCGGGCAAGAACCCAGCUAUGCUCUGAGAAGUGAGUGGGCAGCAUCUAAUUGCUCUUCAUAAAAAUCCUGCUGUUUUCAGCCCCAGCCCACCCUGGUCUUCCCACAGACAAUGGCCACUCCCAUGCCUGAGCCAUCCCAGGUACACUUGUAGGUACUGGUGAUAGAAAAAUGAAGACCUCAUUCUUCCCUUGGAAAACAAAAAACAAAGAAGAGACCAAGUCUCUUAGGAAAAAGAGAACCCUGCCAGUAGCACGAUACAGGAGAUCCCCAGUUGGAGGAACCAUCCUUUACAGCUGACUGACUCACCAGUCCCUAAUGCUGGUCAGAUGUCCUGAACAAGGAAAGCCGUGAUUUCUGCGACCAGAGAGAAUCGGUCAGUCACGGUGUCCCUCAGCCAAAAUGAACUCAGCCUAUUGUCUCCGGAGAGCUGGUAAAUCGGCAGCUGAAGAAACAUACAGUUCUGUGUUUCAAAAUGCAAAAGACCACAUUUCCCUGACCUCGGGUGCUCGCUGACACAUUCCCAACCAAUGACUAUAAAUCUGCUCCUGGAUUGUGGUAAGUUGAGAAAUUAAACACAAAUAUCCCAUCUGAUAACCUUCCUCUGGCCUUUCACAGUGUUGUUUAUAGAACUGAAUUUUAGAAAAUGAAUUCCUUUAUCCUCAAGGUUUUAGGGCUUUUUUCUUCUAAGCCCAGAAACUGUAAACGUUUUCAUGAUACAAGAAAGCUGGCGCUUCUCCUUCUACUUAAAUUACAGACACUCGUCUGAGUUGCCUGCUGCUGUGGAUUUUUGUUGGGUUUCAGUUGCUUUCUAGCCAUUCUUCCAUCCUUAGAGCAUCUGAAUUUCCUUUUAUGAAUUUCCCUCAUCCCCUUUGAGGGAAUCCGAUGAAAUCUCAAAUCCAAGCACCUGCCUCCCAGCAAGAAUGCGGAGCUGCUAGCUUUCUGGAACUACAUGAUUUCCACCCCUUUUUUUCUUUUUUUUUUUUGAGACGGAGUCUCACUCUGUCACCCAGGCUGGAGUGCAGUGGCCUGAUCUCCGCUCCCUGCAAGCUCCGCCUCCCGGGUUCACGCCGUUCUCCUGCCUCAACCUCCCGAGUAGCUGGUACUACAGGUGCCCGCCACCAUGCCCAGCUAAUUUUUUUUUUACUUUUUUAGUAGAGACGGAGUUUCACCAUGUUAGCCAGGAUGGUCUCAAUCUCCUGACCUCGUGAUCUGCCCACCUCGGCCUCCCAAAGUGUUGGGAUUACAGGUGUGGGUCACCGCGCCUGGCCAAUUUCCGCCCCUUUUCAAACUCAGUGCCUCAACCUCACAUCUGUUGGAUGAGUCCAAGAGACCCUUCUAGUACAUUCCCUUUUGCUUCCAUUACACUCUAACUGGUGAGCCUAGUGCAUAGGAGAGGCGCCUGUCCCUGUCAGCCUUGAUCUGGCUUCCUGAGAGCUCUGUCUUAUCUCUAACACAUAUUCUUCUGUCAAAACACAAGUGGAACGGCAGAUUGGGGUUUUGAAAUCACACUUGGUGGAGCUCUGGCCUGUAGAUGUGUUCUCACCAAUCCAUGAGGUCUUUUCAAAAAUAUCAUCAUUGUUUUAUUAUUUAUUUAUUUAUUUUUGAGACAGGGUCUCACUCUGUCACCCAGUCUAGAGUGUAGUGGGGGUGAUCCUAGGUCACUGCAGCCUCGACCUCCUGGACCUCAAGUGAUCCUCCCACUUCAGCCUCCUGAGUAGCUGGGACUACAGGUGCACACCACCAUACCUGGCUAAUUUUUGUAUUUUUUGUAGAGACAGGGUUUCACAUGUUGCCCAGGCUGGUCUCGAACUCCUGGGCUCAAGCAGUGCUCUCGCCUCAGCCUCCCAAAGUGCUGGGAUUACAGGCGUGAGCCACCUGGCCUUCAGUGAAAAUCUUAAAGGAUUAAUGUAAAAAUCACAUGGUGGGAUCAUGAUCCUCCCAUCAAGCUCUGUAUCAAACAUUCAUCCUAAAGCUCAUCAGUUCAGAGCUGGAGAGUAAACAACUUCAGAGAAAGAGGCUUUCCAAAACAGUGGGAAUUUCGGCAGAGAUGGAGCUUGGGGAAACUGAGGCACUCAGUCUGACUUCUCUUCCCUGAUGAGGAUGUGGGCUUGCUGAAGCUGAGUUUGGUUCAAGAAAGAGGAGAGUUCAAUGUUGAUAAAAAUUAUCUUGAACAAAAGUCACAGAUUGCUAGAGCAAGUUCUUCUUGAACUGUGACAAUAAGACCAGGCUAAACAAGCUAAAGGACAUAGCAAAACGCAUGGACAAUGUUAAUCGGCCGCAUUAGGGAAUCCAUGGAGAGGCCACCGUGGGUCUCUAGAAGCUACACUGAAAUGUGUUUCAUCUGCUUCCACCCUGGUGAGAGGGGUCCCACUUCCAUAAGUUUCCAUGUCCUUUGUUAAACAGAGAACCUAGAGUUGUCGUACAGGGUGGGGAGAGAUGUGGUUCCUUCCCACUGGACAUUCAUCCAACUGAAACACUACAGUUGGUAUCUAAAGUGAGACAGGCACUACCAGGCGUGGAAGAUUCAUCAAGCCGAAAGAAGAAACACUGAGCUAGCUAUUUCCAAGGUGGAUACAGAGCCAAUUGUAACAAUGGAAUUUAUGCAGUUUCCCUACCUGGGACAAUUCACACACAGUGGUUAAGGAAGCUCAGUAAAGUCCAGGUAGCCCACUGACUGUUCCCUGGCUUCUCCCAGCCACCUAUGACCUGGACAAGACUUGGAACCCAAAGGGAGUUAAAAAACUAAGAACCUCAGGCUGGGCGCAGUGGUCCCAGCACUUUGGGAAGCCAAGGAGGGCUGAUCACUUGAGCUGAAGAGCUGGAGAGCAGCCUGGCCAACAUGGUGAAACCCCGUCUCUAAAAAAAACUACAAAAAUGAACUGGGCAUGUUGGCGCAAUCCUGUAAUCUCAGCUACUCAGGUAGCUUAGGCGGGAGGACCACCUGACCCCAGGAGGCAGAGGUUGUAGUGAGCUAAGACCAUGCCACUGCACUUCAGCCUGGGCAAUAGAGCGAGACCCUGUCUCAAAACAAACAAAACAAAAAGCUAACAAAACAAAACAGCAAAAACAAAACCUUGAACCUUAUCAAGCCUCGAGAGCCAACCACCAUUAUACCAGGAGCAUAGAACUGGCCAGAUUCGGAUAUGGGGAAUUUCUGCAGGGCAAACGGCCCAGGUACAUCAAGAAACAAUGUCAUGGGAAAAGAUGGAGCAGGAAGUGUGGCAGAUUAAAAGAGACGGAACAGUCAGCGGCAACCUUGGUGUUUUGUUUGUUUCCGAAUCUGUACAAACCAACAGUAAAAAUCCAUGAUUGAGAAAGCAGGGAAAUGGGAAAGCAGACAGGGCCUGAAAGGGUGGUGGUGGCUUGGACCACGUCAUUGUGGUGAAGCUGGAGCUAGAUUCCUCCACAUCCCUUUCUCUGUGGAGUUCUGGGUGAAGAGGUGGCCCAAAGAGGCACUGUCGUGGGAUUCGGGAGGCUGCGUGAAGCAUCAGCCGUGACUCUCCAAAGUUCUUAGACUUGAUGCAUGACAGACACACACACAGGUAUCAACGAAGUCCAGCUUGUCCCCACUCUCCUGUCCCCAUCCACUUCUCCCCGACCACCAACUCUGCUGACCAGCAACGGCCCUGAGCCAGCCUCCAGAUGCUUGCCUGGGGUCCACUCUGGCUGGAGCAGUUCUUAUUAAAGGGUUUUUGUUCAUUGCAUUAGCUUCAUCGCAGUAUUGCAUUACACUGGGGGCAAGACAUUCUCUGUGGUAGGUACACACUGAAGCAUUUAUGGGUGAAAUUAUGUUAUUUCUAGGGUUUGCUUAAAAUACUUCAAAACGAAAGAGGCUGGAGCGUGGAGACUAAACAAAACAACAUUGAAAAAUGGUAACGAUUGUUAGAGUUGGAAGAUGGGCUCAUUGUUCUAUUUGCUCUGUUUCUGGUAUGUUCGAAAAUGUUCAUGAUUUCAAAUUACGGAGUCGGGGGAGCUAAGGAAAUGGAACAGAACCUGAAGAUCCCCCACCCCCUCCUCCACUCCAG
rnacentral:lncRNA from 10 species